rnacentral:tRNA from 1 species
CGGGAUGUGGCGCAGUUUGGUCAGCGCGCUUCGUUCGGGACGAAGAGGUCGCAAGUUCAAAUCUUGUCAUCCCGACCA